rnacentral:misc_RNA from 1 species
GCAUGGUAAAACAGAGAAGGAAGAGGAGAGGGAAGGAUCAAACGCCGUCGUAGGAGGAGGCUUUUUAGGAGUCUUGUUGUGGCACUGAAUCCAGGAGAGCUGGCUACCAGUGUCCAAAACCAUUUGCUGGGUCUGAGGAGGAGUCCCAAUAGGCAAAGACACAAUCAAGGCCAUCGAAUACUUGAAGGUCGAUCUGUAGUUAUAGGGUAAAGUUUUG